GGGGAUGUGGCUCAAGUGGUAGCGCGCUCGCCUGGCAUGCGUGCAGCCUGGGUUCGAUUCUCAGCACCA
rnacentral:tRNA from 1 species